GAUGAACGCUGGCGGCGUGCCUAAUACAUGCAAGUCGAGCGAAUGGAUUAAGAGCUUGCUCUUAUGAAGUUAGCGGCGGACGGGUGAGUAACACGUGGGUAACCUGCCCAUAAGACUGGGAUAACUCCGGGAAACCGGGGCUAAUACCGGAUAACAUUUUGAACCGCAUGGUUCGAAAUUGAAAGGCGGCUUCGGCUGUCACUUAUGGAUGGACCCGCGUCGCAUUAGCUAGUUGGUGAGGUAACGGCUCACCAAGGCAACGAGGCGUAGCCGACCUGAGAGGGGGAUAGGCCACACUGGGACUGGGCCACGGCCCAAACUCCUACGGGAGGCAGCAGUAGGGAAUCUUCCGCAAUGGACGAAAGUCUUACGGAGCAACGCCGCGUGAGUGAUGAAGGCUUUCGGGUCGUAAAACUCUGUUGUUAGGGAAGAACAAGUGCUAGUUGAAUAAGCUGGCACCUUGACGGUACCUAACCAGAAAGCCACGGCUAACUACGUGCCAGCCGCCGCCGUAA
rnacentral:rRNA from 1 species